rnacentral:rRNA from 1 species
CCUACGGGUGGCAGCAGUGAGGAAUAUUGGUCAAUGGACGAGAGUCUGAACCAGCCAAGUAGCGUGAAGGAUGACUGCCCUAUGGGUUGUAAACUUCUUUUAUAAAGGAAUAAAACGAGGCACGUGUGCCUUUUUGCAUGUACUUUAUGAAUAAGGAUCGGCUAACGCCGUGCCAGCAGCCGCGGUAAUACGGAGGAUCCGAGCGUUAUCCGGAUUUAGUGGGUUUAAAGGGAGCGUAGAUGGGUUGUUAAGUCAGUUGUGAAAGCUUGCGGCUCAACCGUAAAAUUGCAAUUGAUACUGGCAGUCUUGAGUACAGUUGAGGUAGGCGGAAUUCGUGGUGUAGCGGUGAAAUGCUUAGAGAUCACGAAGAACCCCGAUUGCGAAGGCAGCUUACUAAACUGUGACUGACAUUGAUGCUCGAAAGUGUGGGUAUCAAACAGGAUUAGAUACCCUAGUAGUC